ACUCCCAAGGAAAGUGACGCCUGAGAGAAAGAGCCAUUUGUUUGUCUUUUUAAUUUCAGCUUCUUCCUAAAUAAGACAGCCUUUUAGAAAGACUUUCACAGUGUCAGGUUAGUUACCUAAAUCUUAGGUAACUUUAGGUUAGUUACCUAAAGUCACUCUGUGACUUCAUCCUGAUAUAAAGGAACAAGGAAGAGAGUCGGAUUAGGCUAACUCACUAUGAUGGGGUAACACAUAGAAAAGGCACGGAGAAGUUAAGUGAUUUGCCUGUGGUCACAAAGCCUGUUAGCAGCAAACCCAGAACAAGAACCUAAGAUUUAUGACCGCCAGUUCCAGCUGUUUUUCUUCGUCAUGUAUCCUCAGCAAUCAACAUAAUCAAAAUCUGUUUGGAGACUACUGAUUUGUAUAAAGGAAGAUAACACCGAACAACCAAACAGGAAGUAAUCCAGCGAAUCUGGAACAGCGGUGGAAUUUAGAAGCAAGGCCAGAUGAGGACCCUAAGACCUAGAGAAACUAAGUCAUUUGCUCAAGAAGACAAAGAUACCUUUACAGUGGGAUUUGAGAAUCUUUGAUUUUGAGAAGAUUACUACUUCAGCUGCC
rnacentral:lncRNA from 10 species